GCGCGCGUAGCUCAGUGGUAGAGCACUUGCAUGACACGCAAGGGGUUGCAGGUUCGAUUCCUGCCGCGCGCA
rnacentral:tRNA from 1 species